rnacentral:rRNA from 1 species
CAUCACCUCUAGCAUACCAAGUAUUAGAGGCACUGCCUGCCCAGUGACUAACGUUAAACGGCCGCGGUAUCCUGACCGUGCAAAGGUAGCAUAAUCAUUUGUUCCUUAAUUAGGGACUGGAAUGAACGGCUUGACGAGGGUUUAACUGUCUCUUAUUUCCAAUCAGUGAAAUUGACCUCCCCGUGAAGAGGCGGGGAUCACAUAAUAAGACGAGAAGACCCUAUGGAGCUUUAAUUUACUAGUUUAAUCCCAACAACAACAACCCUACUGGCCCAACACACAAAAAUAUAAACUAGUAAUUUUGGUUGGGGUGACCUCGGAGCAUAAAAAAACCUCCGAAUGAUUUUAACCAAGACGUACAAGUCUAAGUAAUCAUAUAUCUUAUUGACCCAAAACUUUUUGAUCAACGGACCAAGUUACCCUAGGGAUAACAGCGCAAUCCUAUUCAAGAGUCCAUAUCGACAAUUAGGGUUUACGACCUCGAUGUUGGAUCAGGACAUCCCAAUGGUGCAGAAGCUAUUAAUGGUUCGUUUGUUCAACGAUUAAAGUCCUACGUGAUCA